UGCCGGGCGCCACGAGGACGGUGGGCAGGUUUCCGCCGUCCCGCGCCAACUUCGCCAAGCCCGCCGAGCAGGGGCCGCCAGGCCAUCUCAAAGGUGCCGCCUUGGCAGGCCUCCUCACCUGCUACAAGCCCGCCGCCGGUGCUGCCUUGUGCUACGUCUCCAACAAACCGUCUCCCUCCCUCAACGAUCCCUCCUCCCUCAACGAUGCGUCCCUCCACCAAAAGCUUGAUGCUGUUCUUGACGGGAUCAAUCAGCUUCAUCAAAAACUGGAUAUGGAUAUGAUGGGCAUGAAGCGAUUUCUUUGGAGGAUUAUGUCUGCCGUUGCUUCAGUUUUCUGUGUUUUGCUCAUCACUGCCAUACUUUACAUCGUCGCAGAUGGCAGAGCUUAUAUGGAGGCAGAGCUGAACAAACUGGCCAAGGCCAUGUUUUUGAGCUUCACCAGUGAUGAUAAGGUUAAAGAGAGACUGCAGAAGCUCAUUGAGGAGGAAAUUGAUACCACUUUUUACCAUAUCGCCUCGCUUAAGACGUGGUAUAGAUGGUUACGAGGGAAGUGAUGUACACCAGAGACUGAAGUUAAUAAGAGGUACGGUGGCACGUUCUGUUGAAACACCAGGAUGCCAAGUUUUUGGAUGAUCAGAUGAAGACGAUGAAAAGCUGGCUACAGGAGUUUGGAUAGAAUUUGAUCGUGGAGGUUGUCUUGUAGUAUCGCUUCAGUCUUUCCCUCUUACGGAGUACUUAGUUGGUUGGUAAGGCUCUUCUGUUUUCGUGGACUUGCUCGUUCUGCUGCUCUAGGUGCUCUCUUUGAGUAUGUUUGGUUCUUUCAUUCAUGUAAGCUGGAAUCCCCAGCAGAUGUCUAAAACUAAAACUAUGUACUGUUUUUUUUUGGAGCUUACCCUUGUUAAAAAAAACAAAUUCAUGUUGGGUGGAAUCGGAGCAAACACCUUGAGGGCAUGAAGACAGAAGGCUGGUGGAAAUUCACAGGUUUAGGCAUAAGUGAAAGUGUCUGGAGGU